CCAUUUCUCAGCUCUAGUCAACAAUGCUGGUUCUUGUCAUUGUUGUUCAAUGUAUUUUGAGCUAACAAUUUAAUCUGAUAACUUAAUAGUGUAUGCUCAAUAUGUAUGAUCAAAGGUGAAAAAAUAAGAUCAUUUAGGAAGUAGACUAUCUAUGCCAUUUGGCUUUAUGAUCAUUUAGGAAGUAUUUUAUUUGAUAGCUAAAUUGAGGAUUGUCAAGUGGACAUGAUUCAAUGUAAUGUUAUUGAUAACUUUGACAUGGAAUAAAAUAUAUCCUUUAAUUGAUGUUACUCAUUUU
rnacentral:lncRNA from 1 species